rnacentral:rRNA from 1 species
ACUCCUACGGGAGGCAGCAGUGGGGAAUAUUGGACAAUGGGCACAAGCCUGAUCCAGCCAUGCCGCGUGAGUGAUGAAGGCCCUAGGGUUGUAAAGCUCUUUCACCGGUGAAGAUAAUGACGGUAACCGGAGAAGAAGCCCCGGCUAACUUCGUGCCAGCAGCCGCGGUAAUACGAAGGGGGCUAGCGUUGUUCGGAUUUACUGGGCGUAAAGCGCACGUAGGCGGACUAUUAAGUCAGGGGUGAAAUCCCGGGGCUCAACCCCGGAACUGCCUUUGAUACUGGUAGUCUUGAGUUCGAGAGAGGUGAGUGGAAUUCCGAGUGUAGAGGUGAAAUUCGUAGAUAUUCGGAGGAACACCAGUGGCGAAGGCGGCUCACUGGCUCGAUACUGACGCUGAGGUGCGAAAGCGUGGGGAGCAAACAGGAUUAGAAACCCCAGUAGUCCCAUGA